GGAUUAACCUUCAACAAUGGUGACGCUUUUUGGAAAAAUGUUUGAAUUGAAUUGUUUAGUUAGUGAAGGAUUUUUGUGUCCCCUGUGUGAGAUGGACUGCAGGGUUUAGAAACCAUUGAUAGCUUUCCUUACUGUUGGACUUAAUGUGCCAUACCACUACUAUACUGCCAAUCAAAUAUCACGCUACUUGCCAUCUAUCCGGUCUUCUUUUCUCUCUUUUCAUUGUGUUUUUUUGUUUUUUUACUUCCCGAAUACUAUCAAUCAAAGGAGGACGAGGCGGCCAUUUUGAAAAUGGUGUUUUAAUUUAUUUUAAAAAACAAGACUAGUUUUUUAUUUACUCUUUUAUAAAGUCGGAAACGUCAGCGCUGUCGAGGUUUUUGUGCAAUCAACCCCGCUUGCCACUAUGAGCCGCAAAUGCUGUAUAUAUACUAAUGCUGUGAGACAUGUUUCAUGUUGUGCGAAGGAUGCUUGUGUGUUUUUGUUUUCACUUGGACGUUACAUCUUAUUUCACCCUGGAGUUGCCACACAAACGGAUCCAGCUCCAAACAUAUUCCCACUUCCCCCCCCAAGAUUCAUCUGCGUUCCUCUUACCCUUCCCCGUGUUGAUAGACGGGGUUCAUUUGUGAAAAAGGUCUCCUGUGCAGAAUACGGACCCCUGGAGGACCAGAUCAGACCACAAACCUGAACUGGGGGGGGGGGGGGGGGGACACACAUUAAGACCGACAAACAGACAGACAGAAUAUCACCUGGUAGUGAUUGUGAGGCCCCAAAGCUGAGCGGGGACCAGAGAAAGGCGGGGUACUUCAGGGGGGCGGGGUGUGGGGUAUCCCAUGGUGAACCCUUUGCCCCUGGGGACCUCUGCACGUUUAAAACACACAUCUGCAAUGAGAAACAGCUGGAUCCGUGCGAGCCCUCCCCCUGCAUCUAAAUCACCUGUGUAUUAUUCCAAAAGAGGACGAGGAAGUAGACUCUGGUCGGCCAAUCUCCUGUUUAUAUGUCCAACGUGGGUGUGAUUAAAGGUGUUUGCCUUUUAUUAUACAUAAAUUAUCUACAGGCUUCAAAACAGAGAAUUGUAAAUAAAUAUAUAAUCACUCAGGUAUAUUGGUUUGUUUUGAUUUAUUGAUUUAAUGUCAGCGAUGUUAUUGUUGAAUCACACCGGACUUUCUAAAAUGGUUGAAACUAAGACUUGAAGCACUAUGUGUGUCAUGUACUUGAUAGGUGAUGGGAAACACGCUUUCUGCAGAAAAGAACUUUGGAAAUGAGAUGAUGAUGAUGACGUCGUCGUGGAAGCAUCAAGCUGUUCAUGCAGAGUUAACUGUAAUCCUUUAUAAAGUUACUUAAUUAGUUACUUAAUAUAAACAUUGCAUCGUAUAGCAUCUGCUCUGCUUGCCCGAAAUACAGAACAAAUACCUACCAACAUUUUCUCACUCACCUCUAGUGCUAUUCAGCCAAUACAAUAAGGGAAUAGAAACCUGAAGAAACAGUCAGAGACUGCAUCUGUGUUAUUUUGGUGGAUCACUUUUGUGAAACACCAUCAAUUUGAUUUUGGUUCCCUUGCUCAAUAUGGAACUCCAACAUUAGAAUAAAUUGCAUUAUGUGCAUAUCAAGAUCCAUCAGGGAAAUUUGCAUUCACGCACCAACCGCCAAGACAAAUUCCUUGUAUGUUUGACAUAUUUUGGCAAUAAAUGUUUCUUGAUUCCUGAUUCAGAAUUUUUCACAAAAAGAAGAAUCCAAAGCAGGUGCUGAGGAUUCAGGAAGGGGUUAAUCGGGGCUCCCGCGCUGCCGCCGCGUGUCCCUGCUGGAGAAUGGAUGUGGCUCUACAAAAAUAAACAUGUAUUUAUAACUAAAUAAACCCUGACUGGACCCAUGGGGACGUCUGCGGGAGUCGUGUUGGCAGCGCUAUUGAAAGCCACUGUCGUCCCUCGUUUAAAACGUUAUGACUCACUCGCACGUUUUGAAAGUUGUGCGUGCGAUCGGCUAUCACUCAGAGGGCCGCCACACAACAGGAAAUGGGAAACAUUAAGGUGUUUUAUACACACUUCAUUUUCUACAGGAUGAUUUCUAAGUGUGAGCUCACAGCCUUCUCUUUUAUUUCUCUUGAGAUUCAAAUGCGUAUUCAUUCUGAAUAUAUUAUCCCCAUGCUGAACAAUAAAUCUACCUUGUUACAUUAUGAGACGUUAUCUCCACGGUGACCGGAGGCCUUUCUGAUCCUGCUGAACAGGAUGUCUUCCUGCGGUCGUAAACAGCAAGGCCCUAUUCAUCAGAUG
ensembl:lncRNA